GAUUCAGCAUCUUUACCUGCUAUUCUUUGUGGAAUUUCAGAAAAUGAUGAAUGGAGCAUAUGAGCUGGUGAUUAAUACUCACUCUACUCAUGAGGGGGCCUCAAGGGCCAUUCUGAU